UACGUAGGCAGCGAGCGUUGUUCGGAGUUACUGGGCGUAAAGGGUGUGUAGGCGGUUGUUUAAGUUUGGUGUGAAAUCUCCCGGCUCAACUGGGAGGGUGCGCCGAAUACUGAAUGACUUGGAGUGCGGGAGAGGAAAGUGGAAUUCCUGGUGUAGCGGUGAAAUGCGCAGAUAUCAGGAGGAACACCAAUUGCGAAGGCAGCUCGCUGGGACGUUACUGACGCUGAGACGCGAAAGCGUGGGGAGCAAACAGG
rnacentral:rRNA from 1 species